AGAGUUUGAUCAUGGCUCAGAUUGAACGCUGGCGGCAUGCCUAACACAUGCAAGUCGAACGGGUUGUAGCAAUACAACUAGUGGCGGACGGGUGAGGAAUACAUAGGAAUUUGCCUUUAGGUGGGGGAUAGUCCGGGGAAACUCGGUUUAAUACCGCAUGAUGUCGCAAGACCAAAGCAGGGGAUCGUAAGACCUUGCGCCUUUAGAGAAGCCUAUGUCGGAUUAGCUAGUUGGUAGGGUAAUGGCCUACCAAGGCGACGAUCCGUAACUGGUCUGAGAGGACGAUCAGUCACACCGGAACUGAGACACGGUCCGGACUCCUACGGGAGGCAGCAGUGGGGAAUAUUGGACAAUGGGCGAAAGCCUGAUCCAGCAAUGCCGCGUGUGUGAAGAAGGCCUUCGGGUUGUAAAGCACUUUAGGCUGGGAAGAAAAAGCUUCACCUAAUACGUGAAGCCUUGACGGUACCAGCGGAAUAAGCACCGGCUAACUCUGUGCCAGCAGCCGCGGUAAUACAGAGGGUGCUAGCGUUAAUCGGAUUUACUGGGCGUAAAGCGUGUGUAGGCGGUUCGUUAAGUCGGAUGUGAAAGCCCUGGGCUCAACCUAGGAAUUGCAUUCGAUACUGGCGGGCUAGAGUACGGUAGAGGGCGGCGGAAUUCCGGGUGUAGCGGUGAAAUGCGUAGAUAUCCGGAGGAACACCGAUGGCGAAGGCAACCGCCUGGGCCUGUACUGACGCUGAGACACGAAAGCGUGGGGAGCAAACAGGAUUAGAUACCCUGGUAGUCCACGCCGUAAACGAUGAGAACUUGACGUCGGUUUGCUCUGCGAAUCGGUGUCGUAGCUAACGCGAUAAGUUCUCCGCCUGGGGAGUACGGCCGCAAGGUUGAAACUCAAAUGAAUUGACGG
rnacentral:rRNA from 1 species